rnacentral:tRNA from 1 species
GCAAAAUGUAGCUCAAAAUGAGAGCGUUGGUCUUGUAAACCAAAGGUUAAAUAUUUUAUUUCUUUUGCU